rnacentral:rRNA from 1 species
UACGGGGGGGGGCAAGCGUUGUUCGGAAUUACUGGGCGUAAAGGGCUCGUAGGCGGCCAACUAAGUCGGAUGUGAAAUCCCCAGGCUUAACCUGGGAACUGCAUCCGAUACUGGAUGGCUUGAAUCCGGGAGAGGGAUGCGGAAUUCCAGGUGUAGCGGUGAAAUGCGUAGAUAUCUGGAGGAACACCGGUGGCGAAGGCGGCAUCCUGGACCGGCAUUGACGCUGAGGAGCGAAAGCCCAGGGGAGCAA